UUUACAGUAAUUUUGAGUGACGACUUCAAUCUGUACGAGGCACACCAGACGUGGAAAAUCUCAACAUGCCUGCUUUUGAAGAACUGCUUAUCCGAGU
rnacentral:lncRNA from 1 species